rnacentral:lncRNA from 1 species
CAUAAGCAUAAGGACCCAGCUCACGAUACAUUUGAAAAUUUACCCGUGGUCAUCAACAACAGACAGUCAUGGAAAUGGUUUGAUAAUUGUAUGGGUAAAUGGCUUUCUACUCCUAGUGUUAUAACAUUAAAACCAGGACGUACAUUAGUAAUAUUAGAAUCUGUCAAAGCAAAUGGGAUAUUGUUAGAACAAUUGAAAUUAACAUUUCUUUGGAUAAACGCAAGCGAAGAAGAACCAAUGGACAUGGACUGUGGAAAUGAACUAUGUAGUAGUAAAAGUCAGCACCAAAUAUCUGGAGGACUGCUUCCAAACCAUAGGCAAUUAUCUGGAGGCAUUCACCACCCUGGCCAAUUAUCAAGAGGCAUUCCACUUAGUUUUACCGGGAGGGGGGGAGCAAGGGGUUUAACUGUUAUGCUGUUAUGGGGCAAUUUGAUUCUUUGUUAUCUGUUAUUCUGAAAAUAUAUUUGCUGUUAGCUGUUAUUGUCUUAUUCGUUGUUAGCUGUUAUUGGACUAUUAGGUUUUUUGUUAUCUGUUAUUGUGAUAAUGUAUUUGCUGUUAACUGUUAUUGAAAAUUGGAAUAUUAGCAUUUGUUUUGACAGCCAAUAUUCGGUAAAAAAUGAAGAUUAUUGAACAUUGGGGUCUACCACUAGUAAAUAUGGUGGCCCCGUAUUCGGUGAAGGAUUUCAUAAACAUAUACCCAUCACAGAUCAUCACAUAAACAUAUUAAUAGAACGGUUGGGUCCAGGC